GCAAGUCGAGCGCACUCUUUUAGAGUGAGCGGCAAACGGGUGAGUAACGCGUGGGAAUCUACCCCUCUCUACGGAAUAACACAGAGAAAUUUGUGCUAAUACCGUAUACGUCCUAUUGGAGAAAGAUUUAUCGGAGAUGGAUGAGCCCGCGUUGGAUUAGCUAGUUGGUGAGGUAACGGCUCACCAAGGCGACGAUCCAUAGCUGGUCUGAGAGGAUGAUCAGCCACACUGGGACUGAGACACGGCCCAGACUCCUACGGGAGGCAGCAGUGGGGAAUAUUGGACAAUGGGGGCAACCCUGAUCCAGCCAUGCCGCGUGAGUGAUGAAG
rnacentral:rRNA from 1 species